rnacentral:lncRNA from 1 species
GAAGCAAGAGGUCCAGUUACUCGUUAUCCGUGCCAAACAUCUGCUCUAUGCGGCCCAUGCACAUGCGUCGAGAAUUGGUGUAAGUGUCCGCCAGAUAAAAUAUCGAAGUUCAUUCUUCAAGACAUCUCUACACACCCGCAAGCACAUAAGGAAAUGCCAUAAUCAGCGCUACUUGAUACAUCAAUAUAUAGCAUAUACUUAUGACGAGCCCCAAAAAUCUUAUGUUCUCCCA